rnacentral:rRNA from 1 species
GACGAACGCUGGCGGCGUGCCUAAUACAUGCAAGUAGAACGCUGAAGAGAGGAGCUUGCUCUUCUUGGAUGAGUUGCGAACGGGUGAGUAACGCGUAGGUAACCUGCCUUGUAGCGGGGGAUAACUAUUGGAAACGAUAGCUAAUACCGCAUAACAAUAGGUGACACAUGUCAUUUAUUUGAAAGGGGCAAUUGCUCCACUACAAGAUGGACCUGCGUUGUAUUAGCUAGUAGGUGAGGUAACGGCUCACCUAGGCGACGAUACAUAGCCGACCUGAGAGGGUGGUCGGCCACACUGGGACUGGGACACGGCCCAGACUCCUUCGGGAGGCAGCAGUAGGGGAUCUUCGGCAAUGGGGGCAACCCUGACCGGGCAACGCCGCGUGAGUGAAGAAGGUUUUCGGAUCGUAAAGCUCUGUUGUAAGUCAAGAACGAGUGUGAGAGUGGAAAGUUCACACUGUGACGGUAGCUUACCAGAAAGGGACGGCUAACUACGUG